rnacentral:rRNA from 1 species
CACGUAGGGCGCAAGCGUUGUCCGGAAUUAUUGGGCGUAAAGAGCUCGUAGGCGGCUUGUCACGUCGGGUGUGAAAGCCCGGGGCUUAACCCCGGGUCUGCAUUCGAUACGGGCUAGCUAGAGUGUGGUAGGGGAGAUCGGAAUUCCUGGUGUAGCGGUGAAAUGCGCAGAUAUCAGGAGGAGCACCGGUGGCGAAGGCGGAUCUCUGGGCCAUUACUGACGCUGAGGAGCGAAAGCGUGGGGAGCGAACAGG